rnacentral:rRNA from 1 species
GCGGCUUGUUGCGUCAGCUGUGAAAACCCGCAGCUCAACUGUGGGCUUGCAGCUGAUACGGGCAGGCUUGAGUUCGGUAGGGGAGACUGGAAUUCCUGGUGUAGCGGCGAAAUGCGCAGAUAUCAGGAGGAACACCGGUGGGGAAGGCGGGUCUCUGGGCCGAUACUGACGCUGAGGAGCGAAAGCGUGGGGAGCGAACAGGAUUAGAUACCCUGGUAGUCCACGCUGUAAACGUUGGGCGCUAGGUGUGGGGGGCCUCUCCGGUUCUCUGUGCCGCAGCUAACGCAUUAAGCGCCCCGCCUGGGGAGUACGGCCGCAAGGCUAAAACUCAAAGGAAUUGACGGGGGCCCGCACAAGCGGCGGAGCAUGCGGAUUAAUUCGAUGCAACGCGAAGAACCUUACCUGGGUUUGGCAUGGGCGCUGAAGCCGCAGAGAUGUGGUGUCCUUCGGGGGCGUUCACAGGUGGUGCAUGGCUGUCGUCAGCUCGUGUCGUGAGGUGUUGGGUUAAGUCCCGCAACGAGCGCAACCCUUGUUCGAUGUUGCCAGCGG